rnacentral:rRNA from 1 species
UUACCAGGCCUUGACAUGCAGAGAACUUCAGAGAUGGAUUGGUGCCUUCGGGAACUCUGACACAGGUGCUGCAUGGCUGUCGUCAGCUCGUGUCGUGAGAUGUUGGGUUAAGUCCCGUAACGAGCGCAACCCUUGUCCUUAGUUACCAGCACGUUAUGGUGGGCACUCUAAGGAGACUGCCGGUGACAAACCGGAGGAAGGUGGGGAUGACGUCAAGUCAUCAUUGGCCCUUACGGCCUGGGCUACACACGUGCUACAAUGGUCGGUACAAAGGGUUGCCAAGCCGCGAGGUGGAGCUAAUCCCAUAAAACCGAUCGUGGUCCGGAUCGCAGUCUGCAACUCGACUGCGUGAAGUCGGAAUCGCUAGUAAUCGUGAAUCAGAAUGUCACGGUGAAUACGUUCCCGGGCCUU